UGUUGUUGUUGUUUGUAUUGUUAGUGUAGCCAUACAGCUCCAGGUCCAUAUCUGGGUCCCCCUGCUGCGUCUGCUGCUGCUGGUGGCGGCGGCAAUCGUCGUCCAUGGUGGCCUCAUUGAUCAUUGCUGUGAUCUGAUCAUGCACAAACAUGUUCAAUGCAGAAUGAAGGGAAUUCUUACAAAGAUGUAAUUUUCUCUUUUGUUGUAAAAUUGGGAGAAGAAUUAUUAAAGACGACAUACCUUUUCAUGGAGAGCCGUGACAGCUUUCAUCAUUAGCUGUGACUGCACAUAAUUAAUGUUUGGUAAACUAAAGAUUCUGUAGAUGCAUGGCCAGUCACUAAUAUGAACUCAUGAACAUCUCAGGUAGGUCUUAUCUCAAAAUUCAGAAGUACAGUACCUGCACAAUAUCAAAAUUGAACUGUUGAUAGUCGAUUCACUGAAUGCCUUUUGCUUCUCAUAUAUCAGAGAAGAGCUGACGAAACCAGAAGAUAUCUAUAAUUCCAUGGGAAGUUUCUUAAAUCACUUCCAAUUUGUGAAGCUGUAUGAGGUGUGCCAUUGAAGUUGAGUAUCAAGUUGAAUAAUCAAGUGAUCGCUUCAGAUAGCAAGAUUUCUCCUUCAGCUUUUUUGCGUACUUUAAAAAAAAUGGAGAAGCUCUUUAGAAAGUUAAAACAAAAUCUCAAGAGUUGCUGCUCUUCUUCCAGACUCUCUAACAAGACUGUGAAGGAGUGACCUGUUUCUUGUUUCCAUAUACCAGUUUUUUAUGUUUUUUGUGUUAGGGUGGGUAAUUGCAAGUAUUCUUGGAAUUAGCAUUGUUGCCUACAUGAUUGAGAGGUGGCAAACCUUUGCAGGCUUUAUCCAGCUAACACAAAAGAAGAACUUUUGCAA